AAAAACCUUUACAAAUCUCUCUCUGAUAUCUCUAAUUUUUUAGAAAACCCUAAAUUUUCAUUUUCGCAAAAUUUCUGGAGAGGCUUUUUUUAGGCGAUCUUGCUUGGUUCACCGACGAUAUGAUCCAGAAAGGACGAUCACUCACUUCGGCUAGGAUUAUCGAUUCUCAGAUCGUUUUGAGUCUUCUUUGCCUGAGAACAAGAAGAAGAUGAUGGUUCAUCAUAGGAAGCGGCUCUAAUCUUAGGUGCAAAUUCCAGAGCCUAUAAUGUGGCGUUUCUUAGAACUCAGAAAACAGAGAGUUCAACAUUCGCAAUCAAUUGAAGAAUGUGUAUACUUACAUGCACUUAUUCGUAUACACAUGCAUGCAUUCAUUCAUACAUACACG